rnacentral:rRNA from 1 species
GACGAACGCUGGCGGCGUGCUUAACACAUGCAAGUCGAACGGUAAGGCCCUUCGGGGUACACGAGUGGCGAACGGGUGAGUAACACGUGGGUGAUCUGCCCUGCACUUCGGGAUAAGCCUGGGAAACUGGGUCUAAUACCGGAUAGGACUCCGGACUGCAUGGUCUGGGGUGGAAAGCUUUUGCGGUGUGGGAUGGGCCCGCGGACUAUCAGCUUGUUGGUGGGGUGAUGGCCUACCAAGGCGACGAUGGGAAGCCGGCCUGGGAGGGUGACCGGCCACACGGGGACUGGGCUAGUGCCCAGAGUCCUGCGGGAGGCAGCAGGGGGGAAUAUUGCACGGUGGGCGCAAGCCUGAUGCAGCGACGCCGCGUGCGGGAUGACGGCUUUCGGGUUGUAAACCUCUUUCAGCAUCGACGAAGCGAAAGUGACGGUAGGUGCAGAGGAAGGACCGGCCAACUACGUGCCAGCAGCCGCCGUAA